GAUCAUGGCUCAGGACGAACGCUGGCGGCGUGCCUAAUACAUGCAAGUAGAACGCUGAAGAGAGGAGCUUGCUCUUCUUGGAUGAGUUGCGAACGGGUGAGUAACGCGUAGGUAACCUGCCUGGUAGCGGGGGAUAACUAUUGGAAACGAUAGCUAAUACCGCAUAAAAUUGAUUAUUGCAUGAUAAUUAAUUGAAAGAUGCAAUUGCAUCACUACAAGAUGG
rnacentral:rRNA from 1 species